UGAAAAUAUGUUAUAUAAUUUCUUAGGUGUGAUUUUCGUGUCGAUUAUUUUAAAUCUUCGUUUGCGGGAUCUCUAAUGUUAGGGAAAUAAUCCAGACUCCCUUAGCUUCUUUUCUGAAGGAAAUCAUACUUAUGAGCUCAUACUUUUUGUCUGCCUGCCUGCCUACCAGUCUGUCUCAUGCCUGUGCCAUUCCUCCCACUCCAUGCUGUAAGCCACUGGUGGAUUUCAGCUUAGUCGAAAGCAAAGAGGAGAACGAAAAACGCUGUAUAUUUCCUACCAGCUUUGUAAACCAGACACAAGGGCACAUAAGCAAGACCAGGGAAAGAGCCGUCUCUCAGAUGAGACUGUAAUGGCUAAGAUUUCUCAGACUCAGUAGGUCUUAUGAGGUCUGAUUCCAAGUAAACAUUGGGAAAAAUCCUCUCUGGCAAGGAGGAGGAGAAAGCUGAAUCACUUGGUUCUGCUGUCCUUAUCCAGGCAAUGGUCAGACCCAGAGGAAGCACAGCAGCAGCUCCCAGGGGUGCCUUGUUCUGCUUCUGCACGUUGUGCCGUGAAACACAAAGACACAGCUGGCAGGAUGCUGCCCUGUACGCAUAUCCAGUGCUUGUUCUGACAGCAGAUUUCUGAUAUAAAUCUAUGGCAGUGGUUGCAGAUGAAUUAAAGACAGACAAAAUGCCACACACUGUGCUGUCCAGAAAGAGCAACUCUUAAAAGCUGGGUGGACUUUGGAGCUUGGCUGGACAGGAGGUCAGAACACGAACUGUGAGUAACAGUGCUUCGGAAGAUGGACUGAAAGAUUCUUGCACUACUAAUGAAUUUCCAGGAAAACUGACUGUAAACUGCUAUCAGGAAGAGAAAUGGAAGAUGAGGAAUAAGUUCCUGAUGACAGGAAUCUCCUGGAGGCUUCUGCUGGGGCAGGCUGGCUGAAGGCGACCAGGUGCAGUGCAGCCUCAAGAAGGGGAGGUGAAGGAGGAUGCUCGUGGCUGAGGAGCUGGCAGCAGUGGCAGGGAUGUCAGCAGGCCCAGGGCUCUCCCAUGAAGGCCAUAAGGCGGGUUGCUCCUGGGGGACGUCAUCCUGCAGCGGCGGCAGCACUGGGAGAGCUGUGCCUCUGGAGAUGGAUGUUGCCAAGCGGGAGCGGCAUGGCGGGGGACAGCAUGAGCCCUCCCCACAGCCCGGUUCCUUGCCACCUUUCCUGUGGAAACGAGUGUUACUUAAGCAGUCUGGAGGUGCUGUAAGGUAAUUCCCACAAAGCUAGGAGGCAGAUGCUGAACAUCUUACUGAUGAAUAAAUGAUGUGACAAAAAGGAACAGAGUGUGUGUGCUGGCGCUUCCCCAUCUCACAUGCACGGCACGCUUGCCUGCACAGCACAGCUUUUCCACGCCAGCUCCUCACAGCCUCGUUCUUCUUUACCCAUUCUACUUUACAAUUCUCACAGCUACCCCUUCCGUUCUCCUACAGCCCUUUACCGAAACACGCUGUGCAGGCUAACCCAUCCUCCAGACAGUUCAUUUGCACUCCCUCCUUGAGUGCUGGUCUUAGCACAGAUUGCUCAGUGCCUGCUUUUCCACCGCUGCCGCAACAGGAGGGGCCCAGCACUGCUCUGACAGCCCUCAGACACACAACUAAUCCUGCUGCCUUUGUGUAAGUGGAAGCGGCAGGAGCAGGCUUUUAAGGGCUAGAAAGUAUUCCACUCAGGGUACCGUUUAUUCAUUCUCAUUUGGCAGCUGAGCUUGCCUGCUGAGAAAUAACUGCUGAGGAAGAGCAUAGGGGGAGCGGAGC
ensembl:lncRNA